CACGUAGUUAGCCGGUGCUUAUUCUUCAGGUACCGUCAUGAGUCCCAGGUAUUAGCCAGAACCUUUUCUUCCCUGACAAAAGCGGUUUACAACCCGAAGGCCUUCUUCCCGCACGCGGCAUGGCCGGAUCAGGCUUGCGCCCAUUGUCCAAAAUUCCCCACUGCUGCCUCCCGUAGGAGUCUGGGCCGUGUCUCAGUCCCAGUGUGGCUGGUCGUCCUCUCAGACCAGCUACAGAUCGUCGGCUUGGUGAGCCUUUACCUCACCAACUACCUAAUCUGAUAUCGGCCGCUCCAAUCGCGCGAGGUCUUGCGAUCCCCCGCUUUCACCCUCAGGUCGUAUGCGGUAUUAGCUGCUCUUUCGAGCAGUUACUCCCCCACGACUGGGCACGUUCCGAUACAUUACUCACCCGUUCGCCACUCGUCAGCUUAACCUGUUACCGUCGUACUUGCAUGUGUAAGGCAUCGCCGCAGCGUUCAAUCUGAGCCAGGA
rnacentral:rRNA from 1 species